rnacentral:rRNA from 1 species
UAUCGGAACGUGCCCUAGAGUGGGGGAUAACUAGUCGAAAGACUAGCUAAUACCGCAUACGAUCUAAGGAUGAAAGUGGGGGAUCGCAAGACCUCAUGCUCGUGGAGCGGCCGAUAUCUGAUUAGCUAGUUGGUAGGGUAAAAGCCUACCAAGGCGACGAUCAGUAGCUGGUCUGAGAGGACGACCAGCCACACUGGGACUGAGACACGGCCCAG